GACGAACCGGAGCGAACGUUGUUCGGAAUCACUGGGCUUAAAAGGGCGCGUAGGCGGGCUGCCGCGGUCCGGGGUCGAAAUCCUCCGGCUCAACCGGAGAACGGCCCCGGGUACGGGCGGCCUCGAGGGGGAUAGGGGCGUGCGGAACUGUGGGUGGAGCGGGUGAAAUGGCGUUGAGUAUACCACAGGAACUCCGGUGGCG
rnacentral:rRNA from 1 species